rnacentral:rRNA from 1 species
UACGAAGGGGACUAGCGUUGUUCGGAAUCACUGGGCGUAAAGCGCACGUAGGCGGAUUUGUAAGUCAGGGGUGAAAUCCCGGGGCUCAACCUCGGAACUGCCUUUGAUACUGCGAAUCUUGAGUCCGAUAGAGGUGGGUGGAAUUCCUAGUGUAGAGGUGAAAUUCAUAGAUAUUAGGAAGAACACCGGUGGCGAAGGCGGCCCACUGGAUCGGUACUGACGCUGAGGUGCGGAAGCGUGGGGAGCAAACAGG